rnacentral:rRNA from 1 species
UACGUAGGGUGCAAGCGUUGUCCGGAAUUAUUGGGCGUAAAGAGCUCGUAGGCGGUCUGUCACGUCGGACGUGAAAAUCCAGGGCUCAACCCUGGACCUGCGUUCGAUACGGGCAGACUAGAGUUCGGUAGGGGAGACUGGAAUUCCUGGUGUAGCGGUGAAAUGCGCAGAUAUCAGGAGGAACACCGGUGGCGAAGGCGGAUCUCUGGGCCUUGCCUGACGCUGAGGCGCGAAAGCUAGGGGAGCGAACAGG